rnacentral:rRNA from 1 species
GAUGAUCGCUGGCGGCGUGCCUAAUACAUGCAAGUCGAACGAAACUUCUUUAUCACCGAGUGCUUGCACUCACCGAUAAAGAGUUGAGUGGCGAACGGGUGAGUAACACGUGGGCAACCUGCCCAAAAGAGGGGGAUAACACUUGGAAACAGGUGCUAAUACCGCAUAACCAUAGUUACCGCAUGGUAACUAUGUAAAAGGUGGCUAUACUACCGCUUUUGGAUGGGCCCGCGGCGCAUUAGCUAGUUGGUAGGGUAAAGGCUUACCAAGGCAAUGAUGCGUAGCCGAAUUGAGAGGUUGAUCGGCCACAUUGGGACUGAGACACGGCCCAAACUCCUACGGGAGGCAGCAGUAGGGAAUCUUCCACAAUGGGCGAAAGCCUGAUGGAGCAACGCCGCGUGGGUGAAGAAGGUCUUCGGAUCGUAAAACCCUGUUGUUAGAGAAGAAAGUGCGUGAGAGUAACUGUUCACGUUUCGACGGUAUCUAACCGGAAAGCCACGGCUAACUACGUG